AUGAAACAAUUGAAAUAUAAUUCUGAUAUGAUUGCUCUCUUGAGUGACUUGUUAUUUAGAAUUUCAAAUGAUGUUAGAGGUGUUGGACAACAUGCUUCUAUGGUUCAAAUUCAGUUAGAACAAGUUGCUAAAUCACAAAGAGAAUUACUUGAUGAAAUGAAUCAUAAUAUGCAUGACUUUGCUGUUAGAGUUGCAACUAGAGGAGGUAAAAUGACUCAGGAACCACUUUAUCCUGAGGGACACCCAAAAAGAAUUGAACAAGAUUCACAAAGAGCUAACACUAGUGCACCUAGUCCUUCUAAAAACAAAAAGAAAAAGAAAAAUGAUAGGACUUUGCACACUUCUAGUGAACCAGAAAUAUAA
rnacentral:rRNA from 1 species